UUAUGGCCAUAUCACAUUAAAACACCAGUUCACAUACGAUCACUAAAGUUAAGCAAUGUUGAGCCUGGUCAGUACCCAAAUUGGUAACUGCUUGGAGAUAUCAGGUGCUGCAA